GUUGUUAAUUGAUUCGUUUUCUUUCAUUUCAUCAGCUGUUAAAUUUGUUGCCGAUGGAAACUGAACAUUUUGUAAACUGAAUUGGGAAUUAAUUCUAAUUUGCAAUAUUGUUUAAAUAGAUUAAAGUUUAUUAUAUCGGUUUAUGACAUGAAAAGAAUCGGCGAAUAUUAUCUUUUACAGCUGGGGAGAAAAGAUUAAGGACUUUAUAUGAUUUUCAAACAAAUUUGUUGACGUAUCUAAACAAAUAAGGAAUGUUCAUGGCAAAUAUCGAUUGGAACCAUGAUUGGAGGUUUUUUUUUACCAUAUUGACAAAACGAAACUAUGCAGACGUUUGUGCGUGAAAGAAAUACAAUCUUAUAUUGCUUGAGACACGGAAGUAUUCUAAUAACAAGGUGCACAAGAAAACUCUAAGAGUUCACAAAUUUCUACCAAUAUGGGGCAGCGAAGUCGUAAUCAUCAUUGAACACUUAUAAUUUAUUUAUUUGAAAGGUACAUGCCAAAUAAGUACGUUGAUGUCAUUAAUUUGGUAAAGCACAUCUUUUGGUUUUCAAAUUUCAUGUAGGACUGGUCAACAUGCUUGACCUCACUGUGUAAUACACAUUUCUCUAUAUUGCAGUUGAAUUGUUGUUGAAGUUAUUCGGUAAAUUUUGGAGUCCCAUAUUGUUAUUUAAAGUACCAAGUUAAAUAAAAACAAUUUGGUUAGACAAGCUAAAAUGACUUCCGGACGUGAUUAAAUUAGUUAAAGAUUAACAAAUUUACAAAAACGAUGAAAUUUUCGUUUCAGAAGUUAAAUUAGAGACGAAUGAAAUAAAAUUAUCAGUUUACAUAACGGAAAAUCAUUCGAAUGUAUAUGAUCCUGUACACCAUUAAACAAUAUUGUGUAAAUAAA